rnacentral:rRNA from 1 species
UACAGGGGGUGCAAACGUUGCUCGGAAUCAUUGGGCGUAAAGCGCACGCAGGUGGCUGAGUCAGUCGAUUGUGAAAGCCCUGGGCUUAACCUGGGAAUUGCAGUCGAUACUACUUAGCUAGAGUAUGGGAGAGGGCAGUGGAAUUCCCGGUGUAGCGGUGAAAUGCGUAGAUAUCGGGAGGAACAUCAGUGGCGAAGGCGGCUGCCUGGCCCAAUACUGACACUCAGGUGCGACAGCGUGGGGAGCAAACAGG